UACAGAGGUCUCAAGCGUUAAUCGGAAUUACUGGGCUUAAAGGGUCCGCAGGCGGACCGGCAAGUACCUUGUGAAAUCUCAGGUCUCAACCCUGAGUCUGCUGGGUAGACUGCUGGUCUUGAGUGCAAAAGGGGUCGCUGGAACUCUAGGUGGAGCGGUGAAAUGCGUAGAUAUCUAGAGGAACGCCAAAGGUGAAGACAGGCGACUGGUUUGCAACUGACGCUCAUGGACGAAAGCGUGGGGAUCAAACGGG
rnacentral:rRNA from 1 species